rnacentral:rRNA from 1 species
GGCCUAACACAUGCAAGUCGAGCGGCAGCGACAACAUUGAACCUUCGGGGGAUUUGUUGGGCGGCGAGCGGCGGACGGGUGAGUAAUGCCUGGGAAUAUGCCUUGAUGUGGGGGAUAACUAUUGGAAACGAUAGCUAAUACCGCAUAAUGCCUUCGGGCCAAAGAGGGGGACCUUCGGGCCUCUCGCGUCAAGAUUAGCCCAGGUGGGAUUAGCUAGUUGGUGAGGUAAUGGCUCACCAAGGCAACGAUCCCUAGCUGGUCUGAGAGGAUGAUCAGCCACACUGGAACUGAGACACGGUCCAGACUCCUACGGGAGGCAGCAGUGGGGAAUAUUGCACAAUGGGCGCAAGCCUGAUGCAGCCAUGCCGCGUGUGUGAAGAAGGCCUUCGGGUUGUAAAGCACUUUCAGUCGUGAGGAAGGUAGUGUAGUUAAUAGCUGCAUUAUUUGACGUUAGCGACAGAAGAAGCACCGGCUAACUCCGUGCCAGCAGCCGCGGUAAUACGGAGGGUGCGAGCGUUAAUCGGAAUUACUGGGCGUAAAGCGCAUGCAGGUGGAUGGUUAAGUCAGAUGUGAAAGCCCGGGGCUCAACCUCGGAACCGCAUUUGAAACUGGCCAUCUAGAGUACUGUAGAGGGGGGUAGAAUUUCAGGUGUAGCGGUGAAAUGCGUAGAGAUCUGAAGGAAUACCGGUGGCGAAGGCGGCC